UGGGGAAUAUUGCACAAUGGGCGCAAGCCUGAUGCAGCCAUGCCGCGUGUGUGAAGAAGGCCUUCGGGUUGUAAAGCACUUUCAGCGGGGAGGAAGGCGUUAAGGUUAAUAACCUUGGCGAUUGACGUUACCCGCAGAAGAAGCACCGGCUAACUCCGUGCCAGCAGCCGCGGUAAUACGGAGGGUGCAAGCGUUAAUCGGAAUUACUGGGCGUAAAGCGCACGCAGGCGGUCUGUCAAGUCGGAUGUGAAAUCCCCGGGCUCAACCUGGGAACUGCAUUCGAAACUGGCAGGCUAGAGUCUUGUAGAGGGGGGUAGAAUUCCAGGUGUAGCGGUGAAAUGCGUAGAGAUCUGGAGGAAUACCGGUGGCGAAGGCGGCCCCCUGAACAAAGACUGACGCUCAGGUGCGAAAGCGUGGGGAGCAAACAGG
rnacentral:rRNA from 1 species